rnacentral:rRNA from 1 species
GAUGAACGCUGGCGGCGUGCUUAACACAUGCAAGUCGAACGAUGAAGCCCAGCUUGCUGGGUGGAUUAGUGGCGAACGGGUGAGUAACACGUGAGUAACCUGCCCUUAACUCUGGGAUAAGCCUGGGAAACUGGGUCUAAUACCGGAUAGGAGCGUCCACCGCAUGGUGGGUGUUGGAAAGAUUUAUCGGUUUUGGAUGGACUCGCGGCCUAUCAGCUUGUUGGUGAGGUAAUGGCUCACCAAGGCGACGACGGGUAGCCGGCCUGAGAGGGUGACCGGCCACACGGGGACUGAGACACGGCCCAGACUCCUACGGGGGGCAGGAGUGGGGAAUAUUGCACAAGGGGGGCAAGCCGGAUGCAGCGACCCCGGGUGGGGGAUGAGGGCCUUCGGGUUGUAAACCUUUUUCAGUAGGGAAGAAGCGAAAGGGACGGUACCUGCAAAAGAAGCACCGGCUAACUACGU